CUGGAUAAAUACUCACAGGAAGUUCACGAAAUUAGGUGCCUGAAGCACUGAAGCGGAGUAUCGUGCGAUAGCACUCACCAUGGCCACGGCGAUUUACAUCAUGGUUCUACUGGGUGUUGCAGUAGUAGUUGCUGCGGACUACGACCACCCGUGGGAUGGAGGCAAGCACUCGAACUGCGACAUGGAACGUACUGAGGAGGUAUGUGGUCCCAGUACCGGAUCACAUUGGCCUGAACUUUGGAUAUACCAGCGACACCGGGAAACUUGCGACAGAAAAAAAGUAUGCCCUGCCUUGCUCUCAUUCGCUUUCAAGAGAUUUCAGGACUGCCGUGAUGAGCAUAAACGCUGCGAGAAAUGGAAGUCCUGUCGUAGAAAGCUUGAAGAAGAAGAAGAACGACGGAGGCGUAAUGAAUACCACUAUGUUCAGUGAGCUUUGGAAGAACCGUUUCCGCGGUAUGCAACAUGUGAAAAUAAUAAACAGUAUAGUGUCUUGCUCA